rnacentral:lncRNA from 1 species
CUACAGUUUAAGCCCACACGCCUAUGGACACUCGAUCUUUAACAAAGAAGAAAAUGGGAAAAAUCUACUAAAACUGAGUUUGCAAUAUUCUUAUGGCAACAAGACAGGAAGGACAAAUCCUGGUGAGCCUGUAGCUGAACCCAAACUCUCAUCAACACACUGAACUCCAUGGACUAUGACUGUCAGUCCUCAUCUCUGCCCUACAGGAUCUUGGCCACACCUCCAACCUUUGCAGAUUGUUGGAAUGACCUCUGACCCACACUUUGAAAUCUAA